CUUUCUCCGCCGGCGACCGGCGCACGGGUGAGUAACACGUAUGCAACCUGCCCCCUGUCGGGGGGGACAACCCGCCGAAAGGCGGGCUAAACCCGCGUACAUGCCACCGGGGCAUCCCGGAGGCAGGAAAGGCUUCGGCCGGACAGGGAUGGGCAUGCGGCGCAUUAGGCAGUAGGCGGGGUAACGGCCCACCUAACCGACGAUGCGUAGGGGUUCUGAGAGGAAGGUCCCCCACACUGGUACUGAGACACGGACCAGACUCCUACGGAAGGCAGCAG
rnacentral:rRNA from 1 species